AUUGAACGCUGGCGGCAGGCUUAACACAUGCAAGCCGAGCGGAGUGAUGGUGCUUGCACUAUCACUUAGCGGCGGACGGGUGAGUAAUGCUUAGGAAUCUGCCUAUUAGUGGGGGACAACAUCUCGAAAGGGAUGCUAAUACCGCAUACGUCCUACGGGAGAAAGCAGGGGAUCACUUGUGACCUUGCGCUAAUAGAUGAGCCUAAGUCGGAUUAGCUAGUUGGUGGGGUAAAGGCCUACCAAGGCGACGAUCUGUAGCGGGUCUGAGAGGAUGCUCGGGCACCCUGGGACUGAGACACGGCCCGGACUCCUACGGGAGGCAGCAGUGGGGAAUAUUGGACAAUGGGGGGAACCCUGAUCCAGCCAUGCCGCGUGUGUGAAGAAGGCCCUAUGGUUGUAAAGCACUUUAAGCGAGGAGAAGGCUCUUUUGGUUAAUACCCAAGAUGAGUGGACGUUACUCGCAGAUUAAGCACCGGCUAACUCUGUGCCAGCCGCCGCCGUAA
rnacentral:rRNA from 1 species